rnacentral:rRNA from 2 species
AGCAGCCGCGGUAAUUCCAGCUCCAAUAGCGUAUAUUAAAGUUGUUGCAGUUAAAAAGCUCGUAGUUGAAUUUCGGGAUUGACACAUCGGUCGUGCCUUAAGGGGUGUGAACUGGUGUAGUCAAUUUCUCACCUUCUGGAGAACCGCGAUGUCCUUAAUUGGGUGCCGCGAGGAACCAGGACCUUUACUUUGAAAAAAUUAGAGUGUUUAAAGCAGGCAUUUUUGCUUGAAUACAUUAGCAUGGAAUAAUAAAAUAGGACGGCAUGAUUCUAUUUUGUUGGUUUCUAGGAUCACCGUAAUGAUUAAUAGGGAUAGUUGGGGGCAUUAGUAUUCAAUUGUCAGAGGUGAAAUUCUUGGAUUUAUUGAAGACUAACUACUGCGAAAGCAUUUGCCAAGGAUGUUUUCAUUAAUCAAGAACGAAAGUUAGGGGAUCGAAGACGAUCAGAUACCGUCGUAGUCUUAACCAUAAACUAUGCCGACUAGGAAUCAGACGAUGUUAAUUUUUUAAUGACUCGUUUGG